rnacentral:rRNA from 1 species
AAUGAACGCUGGCGGCAGGCCUAACACAUGCAAGUCGAACGGAUCCUUCGGGAUUAGUGGCGGACGGGUGAGUAACGCGUGGGAACAUACCCUUUGGUACGGAAUAGCCUCGGGAAACUGGGAGUAAUACCGUAUGUGGUCGAGAGACGAAAGAUUUAUCGCCAAAGGAUUGGCCCGCGUUGGAUUAGGUAGUUGGUGGAGUAAUGGCCUACCAAGCCGACGAUCCAUAGCUGGUUUGAGAGGAUGAUCAGCCACACUGGGACUGAUACACGGCACAGACUCCUACGGGAGGCAGCAGUGGGGAAUCUUAGACAAUGGGGGAAACCCUGAUCUAGCCAUGCCGCGUGAUCGAUGAAGGCCUUAGGGUUGUAAAGAUCUUUCAGGUGGGAAGAUAAUGACUGUACCACCAGAAGAAGCCCCGGCUAACUCCGUGCCAGCCGCCGCAGUAA